rnacentral:rRNA from 1 species
CUGGCUCAGAACGAACGCUAGCGGCGUGGAUUAGGUAUGCAAGUCGAACGGGAACUAUAUAACAGAUCCUUCGUGGUGAAGACUUAUAGGGAACGUGGCGAAAGGGUGAGUAAUAAAUGGAUAACCUACCCUCCAGAUCGGGAUAAUCCAUCGAAAGGUGGGGUAAUACCGGAUGGCCUGGCAGUCUUAUCAGUCUGUCAGUAAAGGUUGCUUCGGCAUCUGCUGGAGGAGGGGUUCAUUUCCUAUUAGCUUGUUGGUAAGGUAAUGGCUUACCAAGGCAUAGAUGGGUAGGGGGCCUUAGCGGGUGAUCCCCCACACUGGGACUGAGACACUGCCCAGGUUCCUACGGGAGGCUGCAAUCGAGAAUCCUCCGCAAUGGGCGAAAGCCUGACGGGGUGACGCCGCGUGGACGAUGAAGGCCUAUCAGGUUGUAAAGUCCUAACAGGGAGUAUGAAAAUCGGCGGGUCCAAUAGGCCCGUUGAUUGACGUCAAUCCCAGAUGAAGUCACGGCUAAAUAUGUGCCAGCAGCCGCGGUAAGACAUAUGUGGCGAGCGUUGUUCGGAAUUACUGGGCUUAAAGCGCGCGUAGGCGGUUCAGUCAGUUAAUUUGUGAAAUCCCCCGGCUUAACCGGGGAAUCGCGGUUAAUACUGCUGAACUCGAGUACAAGAGGGGAGAGUGGAAUUCUGGGUGUAGCGGUGGAAUGCGAAGAUAUCCAGGAGAGGGCCGGUGGCGAAAGCGACUCUCUGGCUUGAUACUGACGCUGAGGUGCGAAAGCGUAGGUAGCGAACGGGAUUAGAUACCCCGGUAGUCUACGCUGUAAAUGAUGGGCACUGGAUGGUGGAGGCGCUGAUAGCUUUCUCCGUCGAAGCAAAUGCGUUAAGUGCCCCGCCUGGGGAGUACGGUCGCAAGAUUAAAACUCAAAGGAAUUGACGGGGGCCCACACAAGCGGUGGAGGAUGCGGCUUAAUUCGAGGACACGCGUAAAACCUUACCGAGGUUUGACAUGUAGGGAUUAAUCCGCUGAAAGCCGGAGGAUUGCCUUACGGUGUAACCUACACAGGUGCUGCAUGGCUGUCGACAGUUCGUGUCGUGAGAUGUUAGGUUAAGUCCUGAAACGAGCGAAACCCCUGUGCUUAAUUGCCAGCGCGUUAUGGCGGGGUCAUUAGGCAGACUGCCUCGGCUAACGGGGAGGAAGGUGGGGACGACGUCAAGUCAGCAUGGCCAUUAUACCUCGGGCUGCACGCGUCAUACAAUGGGCAGUACAAACAGGACCGAUCCCGCGAGGGGGAGGAAUCUCUAACUGCUCUCAGUUCGGAUUGCAGGCUGAACCCGCCUGCAUGAAG